AAGAAAAACAUUGCCAUUGUUCCAAGAAGUGCUUCAGUAUUUCUCUGCUGGAUUAUGGGUUGGAAGAGUUAUCCAUGGCCAUGGAAGGGAGGGGCAGCUCAGGUGUUGGGCUCUGCCAUCUGAUUCACUGACUGGGAUGUGACAAAAUCAGUGAGGGUGGCCUUGGGGAAGAGUUCUGUGUGUUGGGCUGUGUCAGAACAGGUACUACCUGGAAGAGUAGAUAUUUUGUCUCUCAACAUCUCUUUUCUUUUUCUGGUAAUCAAGGGUUCUCUCUCUCUCUCUCUCUCUCUCUCCAACUACUGUAUCCUGAUCUAACCCUGGCCUUUCCUUUUUGGCUAGAAAUCCCUUUUCCUCUUGGCUAGAAUGAUUGACUCAUGAGUGGGCACUUGACUCAAGAAUGACCAGCCCAGUCCUUCAUGGGAUUUGACCUAGGAAUGCUGACAUACACUAUAUUCCCAUGAAGCUUGGUAAACCGGGAUGAUUUAGGUUGAAGGCUGUGGUACUUCUCUAGUCCCAUCAUGUGGAAAAAGUGACUUGCACCUGCAAUUGAAGCCUGGGACUAUGAAACUAAGGAAAAGCAAACAAAGAUGUGGCAGGGGAGGUGGAAAGGGAUGGUCUCCAUGCCAAGCCAUGAAUGCUGGUCUGGAUUGGAUUUCAUUUUGCCUUUACAAUGGAAAAAUUCUAGUGCACCUGGAGGGGCCAGAGAGCUUAUAUGUAAGAGAUAAGCACAGAAGGUUCUAGAAAGAGGGAGCCAAGGGUUUGUAUUAGAGGAAAAUAUCGGUUGUCAGAUUCAAACAUUGCAGGUAUUUGAGACGAUAGGCUGGAGCAAGGUAAGAAUCGGUUGCUGGGAAUAUGAGGAGCAUGUCGGGAAGUACAAAGCUAAAGAAGAGAAGGGCGUUUGCUGCAUUUAUCUGGGUACGUGGUGAUCUUGAGCCACACUGGCGGUGGGAUGGAGAGGGAGCGAUGGUUGCAGGAGAAUUGCAGAGGAAGAAUUCUUAGGGCUUAGUGACCUGUUGGCUAAC
rnacentral:lncRNA from 1 species